rnacentral:misc_RNA from 1 species
GAUGAAGAACGCAGCGAAAUGCGAUAAGUAAUGUGAAUUGCAGAAUUCAGUGAAUCAUCGAAUCUUUGAACGCACAUUGCGCCCGCCAGCAUUCUGGCGGGCAUGCCUGUUCGAGCGUCAUUUCAACCCUCGAGCCCCCCCGGGGGCCUCGGUGUUGGGGGACGGCACACCUGCCGCCCCCGAAAUGCAGUGGCGACCCCGCCGCAGCCUCCCCUGCGUAGUAGCACACACCUCGCACCGGAGCGCGGAGGCGGUCACGCCGUAAAACGCCCAACUUUCUUAGAGUUGACCUCGGAUCAGGUAGGAAUACCCGCUGAACUUAAGCAUAUCAAUAAGCGGAGGA